GCAAUUUUCUUGAUAUAGUUGUAUAUAUGUAACCAUGUUAAUUAGGGAUGGGUUUUUCGGUUUAAUUCUGAAUUCGGCUUGGUUUAUUUUGGUCUAGGAAAACUUUAUACAAAGUCAAUCCAAAUUAGUUUAGUUUGGUUUGUGCUUGUUUAGUUCAUUUGUGUUGAUUUUUUAGUUUUUUUCUAGUCCAAUUACAAAAAUAUAAACAAAUCAUCAUUUGACACGAAAUCAUUAUUUUUU
rnacentral:lncRNA from 1 species